rnacentral:misc_RNA from 1 species
UAAUUUUUAUUGAACCUGUUCAGGUUCUGAAACAUCGCUUAGGAAACGUGGGAGACCUAUUCGAUAUAUAGAAGAGGACUCCCCUCCUGUAUCCCCGGGUAGGGGAAGUACCUCAAAGCCAGGAGGAACUCCUUGGAGUACCGCACAGCCAGGAGGAACUUCUAAGAGUUCCACACAAUCAGGAGAAGCGAGCCCGAAGAGAAAGAGAGGAAGACCGAAGAAAAAUAAGAAUGAGGGAAAUGAAGAAAAGGGUUUAAAAGAAAAUAAUGACAUGAAGGAUAUAAAGAUGGAAGAUCUAGGAACAAAUAAACCUAAGGAUGGCGUCUCUGUACCCAGCAAUACUAAUGAGGAUGCUAGUACAGUCUUAAAUUCAGAAGUUAGAACGGAUAAACCUGAAAACUGUCCAGUAGAUCAAAUUCUCGAUUCAAAUUCAAUGAAUAAAACAGUAAAUGAAAGCUUGGUGAGGAAACGAGGACGACCAGCACGAUUAAAUCAACAAGAUUCACCGUUAGAAUUAAAACCCAGGUCUCCCGUGCCUGAGAAUAAAGUUAAAAGGAAGCAAGGACGCCCAGUCAACAAGAAGGAAGAAGGGAAAGGAAAAAAGGAGGAGGAGGUUCAAAAAUCAAGUCCUAGUAACGGUGCAACAAAGAAAACUGGAAAAUCCGUGAAAAAAGAGGUCAAAGAAUCCUUGGAAAAAGAUUUGACUGACGACGAGGAGAUUGUUGUGAAUAAAGAUGAACGGUUGGCCCUCAAACAGAUUGCAGAGUUUCUUCAGAAAGCAAAACUUCCUCUUUCACCCUUCCCGGUUACGAAAGGAGACGGAAACUGUUGGUACAGAGCAAUGUCAGACCAGGUUUCGAUGCUUGGAAUCCCUAAUAAACCAACGAAACAUUGGGAUUUGCGGAAACAAGUGGCAGACUCUUUAAAGAAUUUACCAUCUGAUGUGAAAAAGAAUACGAUUGACAUUGUUUUUCUCGGGAAACCUCGGGGACUCUCAGACCUAGCACAUCGUCAGAGAAAGGAGGGUCAAUGGGUUGAUGAUCGUGGAGUCAUGGUGCUCGCCACCGCUUUAUUCCUCCAACGAAAUAUUAACAUCUAUUCCUGUCCGGCCGACGAUUCCAGGGAAUACAGUGUAACCAAGAUAGAAGGUGGGGAAGGAGCUGAUGAGUUUCCUCCCUUGAACGUGUUCUACGAUAACAAUCAUUAUCAGAGCCUGAAACUUAGCAAGGAGUAAACAAAACAAGAUGGGAGUAAGACUAAGGAAUAAUACAAGGGUGUAUACUUUCUUGAACAUUUGUUUUUCCUAUAAGUGAAAUCUUAAAAAAUAUACACCCAUAAAAUUAUAUAAAAUGAUAUCAACCACAAUAAGCAACAGCUCAAAUAUUAUCUUAAUUAUUGACCCUAAAUGAAUUAUUGCUUAGCAAACGUUUUCAAACGCAUGUUUUUUUGUUUUACUGACACCAAUGAAUUACAGUUAGUUUGAAAUAUUUUUUUUAUAAAUGAGUAAAUUAUGUAUGAUAUAACAAAAUCGAAAACAAAUUGUGAAGGUAUCAGUAAUAAGAAUAAAGUUUUAAACUGUA